ACAAAAAUGUUAAAAAAAUUUCCAGUUAUUGCUGGGUUUUCUAAAAAUGUAAGGGUAAUAACUUGGUCCCUCCGACGACUUCUCAAUGAUUUCAGGCGUAAUAAUGAUUCUGACGGAAAUGAAAAGUUGGAACAAUUUAGUGGUCGCAUCCCAAUAGACUCUCUCAUCAUAAAGUAUUCCAGAAGUCCUGGACCAGGUGGACAAAAUGUCAAUAAAGUUAACACAAAAGUUGAUAUCCGCUUUCAUGUAAUGUCGGCAGAAUGGAUACCAUAUUGGAUCAGACUGAAACUGCUCAAAGAGGAAGACAGUCGAAUCAACAGGCAAGGUGAACUAGUUGUGCAAUCAAGUCGAUUUCGAAAUCAACAGAAAAACCUAAUGGAUGGUGUUGAAAAAGUUCAAGAAAUAUUAAAAAAUGUCUCGAUUAUUCCAAGUGAAACAUCUGAAGAAAAGAAAGCAAAGAUUAAUGAAUUAAUGAAAUCUGAUAAUGAACGCCGAUUAAAAGAGAAGAAAUUGAGGUCGAAAAGAAAGCAGGAAAGAUUUCGAAAUGAGUAAAAUCAUCUUCUAAAGAGCCUGUUCUGAACACAAAGCCCAAAACCAGAGCGCCAAAUUUGUUCCUAGAAGAUGAGCCAGGGUGAUUUGAAUGAACGGCGUGUUUUCUGGAAUUCUUGCUUCAUAAAAAUGAUGAAGAAAUGGUAUCUGUGACAAGGGAGUGUUAUGCGUAAAAAAAUAUUUGGGGGAUGGUCAUAUUCUCGAAAUGUCUCG